rnacentral:rRNA from 1 species
UACAGAGGUGGCAAGCGUUUGUUCGGAAUUACUGGGCGUAAAGCGUGCGUAGGCGGUUCGUUAAGUCUGUCGUGAAAGCCCUGGGCUCAACCUGGGAAUUGCGAUGGAUACUGGCGAGCUAGAGUACGGUAGAGGAUGGUGGAAUUCCCGGUGUAGCGGUGAAAUGCGUAGAGAUCGGGAGGAACACCCGUGGCGAAGGCGGCCAUCUGGACCAGUACUGACGCUGAGGCACGAAAGCGUGGGGAGCAAACAGG